rnacentral:rRNA from 1 species
UAACCUGCCUGGUAGCGGGGGAUAACUAUUGGAAACGAUAGCUAAUACCGCAUAAUAUUAAUUAUUGCAUGAUAAUUGAUUGAAAGGUGCAAUUGCACCACUACCAGAUGGACCUGCGUUGCAUUAGCUAGUAGGUGAGGUAACGGCUCACCUAGGCGACGAUACAUAGCCGACCUGAGAGGGUGAUCGGCCACACUGGGACUGAGACACGGCCCAG